CAGCAGCCACGGUAAUGCGAAGGGGGCUAGCGUUGCUCGGAAUGACUGGGCGUAAAGGGCGCGUAGGCGGUUUGCCAAGUUAGAUGUGAAAUUCCCGGGCUUAACCUGGGGACUGCAUUUGAUACUGGCAGGCUUGAGUGUGGAAGAGGGUCGUGGAAUUCCCAGUGUAGAGGUGAAAUUCGUAGAUAUUGGGAAGAACACCGGUGGCGAAGGCGGCGACCUGGUCCAUAACUGACGCUGAGGCGCGAAAGCGUGGGGAGCAAACAGGAUUAGAUACCCCCGUAGUCCCUGUCUCUUAUAC
rnacentral:rRNA from 1 species